UUCUCGUGAGAGCGCUGAAAAAUGUACAUUUUUUAUAACAUUUUCCAAUAUUGCCACACCGGUAGAAACAUGAAUUGGGUAUUUUUGAACCAAAGGUCUGGAAUUUUUAGUUUCCACACCACCAUUGAGCAAAAACGAACUGUUUUCGUCUGUUAUUUUUGGCGCGUUUCUUCUGGCAGUCUGCCAUUUCGCCUAUCAGCUGUUCAAAAUCCCAUAAUGUGUGAGUGCUGCCAAGUUUUUAAACGUCCUCAUGGGCGCGCUCUCUCUCAAAAUGAAUAAGUUUCACAUCUAGUUAUCUAUGCCAUCAACACAAUGAAUUGGUGAAAUUGUUCAAAGUGGCACUCGAUCUGAUGCCACAAAAUCAUAAUAAAAGCCGAUUACAACGUAUUUCAGAACUCCAUCGCUGUUAUGAUGCAUUGCAAUACCCCAUUUUGUUUUGGAGAGGUCGUCCCCUAUCAUAUCAACAUACCAAUGAUAAAUCCAACAACUGGUCAAAAAUCAACGAAAACCGUCAGUGCGAUGAAUUUUUAUUCGUACCGAUUGAUGAUUCGCGCUCAAGAAAACAAUUUUAUUUUGCGAUGCAAUCAACUUUCGCAUCAAUAUAUCGUCGAUAUGUACGCCAAAAUUGAAAGUGAGCUAUUCAAUUUCAUCCGUCAGAGUCGAGCCCGAUUGAGAUCAGAGGAAUACAUACAUUUGCGUGACGCAAUAAUCAAUGAUGCUUUUAUCGAAUUACAAGUCAUUUUGGAGGAAAAUAUAAUAAAAAAUUGAAUGCUCCAGGAGCCCUUGGAAACACAUUUUUAACUUUAUUUAUUUUAGCA